GACCGCCCCAAAGAUCCGCUGAAGCGUCUGCUCUUCAAUAUAUCGAAACAGCCUCUCUGCCUGCUGCCAACGCUUUUCCGUAGAUGUCCGGAGCUGUCGAUACUGAGGCCUGUCUCAGGAGAGAUCUUAGGACACUGUAGCAUUAAGAUCAUAUCGCUCCGGAGCUAGGCCUUUGGAUCGGCAACCCCUGUCCUCUGCACGUGUUGCCGAUCCAAAGUCCUGAUUUCGGAGCGAUCCCGAGCCACCUGUAGCAUCUAAGACCAUAUCGCUCCGGAGCUAGGCCUUUGGAUCGUCAACUCCUGUCCUCUGCACGUGUUGCCGAUCCAAAGGCCUGAUUUCGGAGCGAUCCCGAGCCACCUGUAGCAUCGAGAUCAAGUUGAAGAUCUUCAUAAGCCAGGGGGUUCUUAACCUACCCUUUUUCUCGUUUAGAACCCUCUGAAUUAUAAGACUACCUACCGGAACCACGAGUGAUCUGACCCAGAACAGAAUGUUGAUUCUGACAUCGAACAUGUGUUAAUCUAGUGACUGACACUAUAUGUAAUGGUAAUGCAGAAAUAUAUUAUUGGAGUAGCCAUCUACGUCCUCCUGGAAGUUAUCUUUUGGAACCCCAGGUUGAGAAUACUGUCAUACAUUAUGCUGUUUUACGUGUAUGUCUUCUUCAUAUCCAAGUUUUAGAAAACGCGAUAUUGAGAUUAUCAUUGAAUCUGUUAUUGUUUGCUGUUACAUUCCUUUGCUCUUAAGUUCCUUAUCUAUUCAUCACAGUUUUUGUACCUGUACUAUGGAAGUGUAUAAAAUAUAUAUUCCUUAUCUGUUCA